rnacentral:lncRNA from 1 species
AGGCUCUGUCAUAAUGAAUGGAUCCAGUGUGGCCAAUACAUCACCCAGCAUAAAAUCCAAAGAGGACCAGGGCUUAAGUGGGCACGAUGAGAAGGAAAACCCAUUUGCAGAGUACAUGUGGAUGGAGAAUGAAGAGGACUUCAACAGACAGGUGGAGGAGGAGCUGCAGGAGCAAGAAUUCUUGGACCGCUGCUUCCAGGAGAUGCUGGAUGAGGAAGACCAAGACUGGUUUAUUCCAUCUCGAGACCUGCCUCAGGCCAUGGGACAGUUGCAACAGCAGUUCAACGGACUGUCGGUCAGUGAUGGUCAUGAUUCUGAAGAUAUUUUGAGCAAAAGUAACCUGAACCCGGAUGCCAAGGAAUUUAUUCCAGGAGUGAAGUACUGAGCUGACAGAAAGCUUUGAGGAGGACUUGUAUGUCCCCACAUCUGGGGACAGGGCUGCACAACAAGGCGGAGCCGAAGAGGGGGGUGGGUGGGUGAGGGGUGCACAGGGGGGAAGGGGAACAGUGGUUUAACUUGACACUGUGACUGGCAUAGCUUAUGUGCUCAGUUUUUCUCUACAGCCUCUGAGUAUUUCCUUUUGUUCUACUGACUUUUCAUUGGUUCUACUGACUUUCAUUUCAACUAUUAUUAUUGUUGUUGUUGUUGUUGUUAGCUUUUUGACUUAGGAAGAUUGCAGUCUUUUUUCCCCCUUCAUCAGGAAUGUUCUGCUGUGUGUGUUUAAAGAAAAUAAGCUGACCAAGAAAAUCCGGGUGUUUAAGAAUGCCCUUCUCACCCUGCUGUAUACUUACCAAGGGCAGAGAACACCUGGAAAACUACUUAUUCAGUCUCUUAAGCUGGAAGAGAAGAGGGAUGAGUAGAAGAAGCAGGGAUUGCAAAGCAGAGCACCCAACGCCCCAACCCCUGGGGCUUUCCCACGAUGAACUGGGAUUACCAGUGUCCUGCAGAGCCCACGUCCCUACCUGAGCCCCAUUCAAGAAAACACAGGCUUAAAGUACUAAUCCCCAUUACUUUCGAUGGUAGAUGAACUUCAGAUGGUCGAUAAGAGUUGUAACUCAAGGAGAAGACUGGGGUGGUGAUUGUCCCUCGAGUCCUUCAGUUCAUCCAGUUACCGCUGGCCUGCUCUUAAACCUGUGGGUACAGCCACCAUCGGACUCGUCGUUUACCAGGCAAAAGAGCACCAGGGUGGAUUUGCCACUUAGUCCCUCAUGGUGUCUAGUCCCUUGUUUCUUUUCUACCCCAACUCUACUGUUUUUUUAAAAAAGAUAUCGUUAGCAAAAGUGUACAAGAGGCAUGCUGUGCUGGCCAUCAGCUUCAUCCUGGAGAAGUCAUCCUGAAUCCUUUUAGUUAUGGCUUAAGUUUAUUUUGACAGUUUUUCAUUAGCCCCACGAAAACUUGGUCCACCUGGUAUCUUCUUUUCCUUAAACUGGUUUGUGCACUUUUACAAGUCAUUGUAUUUUUCAGGACGGUAGCAUGAAGCUGAACUCACAAUUUGGAUGUUUCUCCCCACUUUACAGAAUUAGGCAAAAGAACUCCAAAAAAGCCUAGGCGAGUGAGUUCUGCUUUUGACCCUGUGACUGUGUGACCCACUGGGACAGUUUUGGCAGUUAUAAAAUUUUGCUGUUCCCACACACCCAUUUUUCUAGGUUGGACCUUCUGGGUACAUUCCUUUUGUCUUUACUGCCUACAGGUCACAGGAAGUUUUUUAGCUGUUGUCGAUCCUCAUAAGGACCUAAACCGGGCGCCAGCAGCUGCCUUUGAGUGAUAGAGAUGUCGGUGGCAGAGUCAGGUUUAAAAGAGAGUGUGUCCAGUCCUGGCCAUCCCCACAGAACAGGCAAGGACUUGCAGGGACCUGAGGGGGACAGUGGCUCCUGUAUGACUGCCACUGUCCUGUGGGAUAGGCCUAUAUCAGGAGGAGAUCAUGUAACUUGAAAUAAAGUCUGUGUAAAUUCAGUAUGUGGAUGUGGGACAGAGGUUGAAAGAAAAGAAUGAGGAUUUGGAAGGUUUAAGAGUUUCUCCUUUUUUCUCAUGAGCUCCCUUGUUGACGUUUUGGACAGCCACAGGUUAAUGUCAGGUUGAAAAUACAAAUCCACAUCUUUUCCUCAUUGGAGUCCUUAGGAUGAUAUCAUUUUUAAAAAAUGCCCUUCCUUGCUGGGUCACGUGUCAUAGGAGGGUAGCUUAGGGAGCUUAUAUUGCCACUUAUGCUCCUGAAUUCCCAAAGCCUCUACCUGGAGAGAAUGAAACUCUUGUUUUCAGGGUGGACUGUAAAUAAAGAAACAGCUUAAUUCUGGCUUCAGCUUUCACCCGGAAUUGUUGCCUCUAAUAAGGAGAGGGCCCUGGAAGUGCAGAAAUAGAGGUCCUCUUCCAGGACUGCUUUUCCUCCUUUCCAUCUCCAUUAUCUUGCCCAAGCUCAGAAUUCUAAAGACUUCUAUAAAUGUGUUGGGAUUGCAGAAGAGCCUUUUUCUAGACCAUGUUGUCUCCAUCACAAAGAGCAUCAUGGAUUCUUGUGUGGCUCCUGGACUGGGAAGUCCUACAGGGAUCCAGAUGGAGCCGUCUCUUUAUCCUGAGGAAGGCUUGCUCUUCGGACACCAGGAUAGGCUAAGGUGUGAGGUAUCGUCCUCAGGGCUUGUUUUUCCAUCUGCUGUGGGGUUCCAUCUUGAAUUUCAGUCGUUGAGCAAUGGAACUGAGCAAUGGAAGCUGAGGGCUGGCCUUUCCAGUCCUGUUCAGACUCAGUGUGCUGACUGUAGGAUCAGGAAGCAGUGUGACCCUUUUUUAAUGUGCAGGUUUGUGCUUCCAGCUGUUCCUCUUGUAGCCUGACUCUUUUCUCCAUCUAUUUUAUAUGGUAGGGUGGGAGCAGAAUUGUCACCCAGGACACAGGCUCAGCUCUAGUCAGUUUGUCAGCUCCCUAGCAGAAAAUGCAUGGAGAUCUUACUGGAUCUUCCUGGGGGAAAGGCUGGGAACCUCUGUCUCAGACUUUUCCUCAGAAGAGAGGUUCUGGGUACAAGCCACGCUAGGCAUCUUCACCCUUUAAGGGUGAGGCUGGUAUUAUAAGUGAUCAUUUUAAUGUUGAAUUUAAACCACUACUCUGUUUAAGCUAAUUUUUUUUUUUUUUUUAGCUGGCAACUGGAAUUUUGAAACAAUAUUGCUGGAGUUCCCAUUGUGGUACAGUGGAAAUGAAUCCGACUAGUAUCCAAGUGGGGUCAAUCCCUGGCCUCGCUCAGUGGGUUAAGGAUCCAGUGUUGUCGUGAGUGGUAGUGUAGGUUGCAGACGAGGCUUGGAUCCCACGUUGCUGUGGCUAUGGCAUAGGCCAGCAGCUGCAGCUCCGAUUUGACCCCUGGCCUGGGAACUUCUAUAUGCCGUAGGUGAGGCCCUUAAAAAAAAAAAGAGAAUAUUGCCAGUUGCCAAUUCUGGCUGGUCCAAGUGUCAACUUUGUUAGUGAUUGAUUUCUGACUUUUGUGAUUACUGGACUCUAAAACUCCAAAAUGAAAAUCAUUUUUAUCUCUUGCUCUUCAAGGGGGAGGAAAAAAAGAAAUACGUUUUCAGUUUCUCCAGCCCUUUGAACUGUAGCAGAACACUUGAUGGAUACAGCCUAGGCACCUGCAGCUCUGGGUCUUUGGACAAGUUUUCCACCACAGCAUUUGAUUUUGGGGAUCCUAUAAGGUCAGACCCAAAAAGAUGGUAAGAAAAAGGCUCGACUUUUGCAACACCUUUAGUUUCCAAAAUCAAAACAGCCAGGAUCUCUUUAAUUACAGUUACAGUACUAAAUGUCUUUAGUGAAAUAAUCAGCAUUUUUCAAAUUGUGUAUUGCCGUAAUGUCAAAGUUCUGUCUUGAUUUUGGAGAGGCUGGGAAGUAAGGUCAGUCAAACACUCUGACCUCAGAGUGGAAUUUAGUACAUGUCAAGAGAGGGAAGUUGUAUGAAGAGGCAGCCAAAGCAAACAGCUUGACUGCGUCUUGGAUCUUCUUGCAUUAGUGCUGCUGCAGAGCCCAUUUACACACAUCAAGAGCCGAGGAAUCUGCACUGCUGGGAUUGGAGGGGACAGGUGUUCUUGGAUAAGGGUCCCGGCGUCACAAGUUAAUAAUGUUGCUUGGUUUAGGAUAUGCUGAGUUCUGAGAUUAGGCAGAGACCUGACAGAUCUGAGCAGGAUUUGGAGACAUGCACCUUUUGGGAAAGGCUCUAUCCCCAGCCACCCUCCCCUGGUCUAAUCGCAGCCCUCAGUAGUUUGGGAAGCGGGUAAAGAGAACAGGGUUGACAAGGAUCUGGUGAACCUUGGGAACCUUGAUCUCCUCCUGCCUCUGCCUCCAGCACCCCCAUGUGAAUCAUUUCCCCUCUCAUUGCACACAGAGAUCAUUAAUUCUGGCACGUGGGUAGUCAGUAGCAGAGUACUUUCUGUAGCCACUGCUCUACUGCUUUGUGAAUUUCACCCACAGACGUGGUUAGUCACAAUCUUGAAGGCUUUUCUUUUCUUUUUUUUUUUUUGCCUUUGUUUUUAAUCUUCUGUCUUUAUUUCUUCCAUCUUGAAGGUGCACUUAGUGACAAAGGACAGGGGACAGGAGGCUGACCAAGGAAACACUCAAGUUUUCUGCUUGCUGUUUGGCCUCUGCCCUCACUGCCCAACCCCCUACUGUUGUCCCCAGUCUGGAUUUGCAGGGAGAGGAGGGUCAUACAAUAGGUCAGUGAUCUCAAUAGCGUGUUAGCCAAGAGAUUCACCACCCUACCCUUGGGGGACAGAAGAGAAAUCUACAAAGGGACAGACAUGCCAUCUUUAUUCUAAAAGAAAAAGCUCCCUUUAGAAUUUCUAUUGUGGUGCAGUGGUAACGAACCCCACUAGUAUUCAUGAGGACUGGGGUUCAAUCCCUGGUCUCGCUUAUUCGACCCCUAGCCUGGGAACCUCCAUGUACCGCACAUGCAGCCUUAAAAAAAAAAAAAAAAAAAAAGCCCCUUUAGAUUUCGUUAUUGGAGUCUCAUUUGUGGAGCCCGCUGAGCUUUUUCUGCCAAUCUUACCUUCUCACUGACUUCCUUUCAUUUUAAUAUUAUAAAUAAUGAAGUAACAUACUAGACUAUGUACUAUGUUCACUCCAUAACUCAACGCUAAGUGAUAAUCCUGUCCUAUUGAUUAUGAACCUUGAGAAAUGUUUAAUGCUUAAUGGGUGGUUUGGGAAGCAGGGACUUUUUUUUUCAGCAACUUUAUUGAGGCACAUCUUACAUAUAAAAUUCACCCAUUUCAAGUGUACAGUUCAGUGAUUUUAGUAACUUUCCUGAGUGGUGCAACCAUGCAGUUCUCAGUUUUAGGACACUUUCAUUCCCUCCAAUAAGAUCUUUCAUGCAUCUUUACAUAAUACCUGUUCCUAGCUCUAGGCAACGACUAAUUUGUAUCUAUGUCUGCCUUUUCUGGACAUCAUCUUAAUGGAAUCAUACAAAAUGUGGUCUCUUGUAUCUGGCUUUUUUCACUUGGCAUAUUUUCAAGGUUCAUCCAUGAUGUCUAACUUGUGUUAGUAGCUUUCUCCUUUUUUAUUGUGAAUAAUGUUCCAUCAAUACACCACAUUUGUCAGCAGGGAGUUUUUUAAACUUGGAUUUCAAGCUCUUGUGUUCUAAAUGAAACCCUCAGAACAUAGGACUCAUGGGGAAGCUGCUGUGCGUUUCAGAAGAACUGCUCAUCAGAACCUCCAGAAUCGCUGCAGAAAUUUUUAUAAUUUUGCAACUUCUUUUUUAUAUGAAACUUUUGUGCUGUCUACCUGUCAGGGCUUCUGAAGCCUCUGAUAAUUUAAAAAGUUAAUGAGCAUGUGUUUGAGCAGAGAAGAAAGUGAAACCAUCAGUACUGUGUUGGACACUUUUUCCUCCCUGAUUAUGGAGGAAUCUCUGAACGCUCUUCUCUGUCAUCUCCAUGACAAAGCUGAACAUGUAUUAAAGGUGAUGCUGCCUUUGUCAGACCGAUUUGGAAGAAAAGAGGCCAGCCAGCAGAGGUCAAGAGGAGAGAGGGAGUGGACUUUGUGGUCAUCCCAGUGGGUCUGUGCACGGCUGACACAUCUGCUGGUGUGGCUGAUGGUGAGGUGUGGAUGGUGCCAGGCAGCUUUAGCACCUCCAACAGGCCCAGGUCUGGACUUCGGCCCUUCAUCCCUAUUUUUCAAGUGUUUAAAGCUGUUUUCGUUUCUUCUUUUUCCUAAAUACACAUUACAUGGUAGUUAUUAAUACUUCUUUGGGGGAUGGGGCAGGGCUUUCAAAUUAAAUAAUUUUCAUAAAAAUAUCAAAAAUGGAAACAAGGUUACUUUUUUAAAAAUUUGCUAUACAAACCAAAUGGCAGCUGUUGAAAAUCUCAUUAAAAUGAGAAUAAAAUG